AGCCCUACAACCCCUCUCCAGUAUAUUAGCUCAUUUAAUUUUCAUAAAUCUGAGAUGUGGGUAAUUAACAUCAUCCCCAUUUCUCAGAUGAGAACACCACAACACCGAGAAGGAAAGUAACUUGGCCAAGGUCAUAGGAUAAGGAAGUGGGUAUAGCUGAGCUUGUGGAGCCAGGUAGUUGUAUCCUAGAGGCCAUGUACAGACUAGUACGUUCUACUGGGUCCCUCUAAAAUUAUUAAGCACUCGGUACCAGUGUCUGGUACUUAGAGUUGACUGUUGGCUGUUAGUGUCACUACUGUCACCUGUUCAGAUCUUUCUUUCUUUUGUCACUCUUGCUGCUGUGGGACUGAUUGUAAGGUUGGUCACCCCCACUGCCAACAAAAAGAAAAAUCAACAUUGACCUGAGCUGUGGUGGUUGCCCGACCCUUCUUCACCUUGUGAGCUCUCUGUUUAAACCGCAAACAGGACAGGGACCUGCGGGAGGAGGCACUAUAUUUGCUAAUACCUCUUUUCGAAGACAUGAAAUUUAUAUCCUUUCUGUCACCACCUCUCCAGCAACGAGCCAACAAAAAUUGCUUGAAGCAAGGGAGAAGUUUUAGAAAGUUUAGACUUCGAGUAAAGUCGCUACUGUUUUUUAAGGCACAGAGGUAAAAAAAAAAAAAUUCAAAAAGAAAUGAAGAUGGUAGAAGCCGUUGGUGGACAAAGGCUCUGCUACUAGAAUAAAUUCCCUGUUCUCCACUCCUUAACUCGUCUUAGAAUGACAGUAUCAGGGAAAAAAGAAAGAGAAAAUUCUGCAAAUAAUUAUAUUCUUCUUUUAAAGUAAGCCACUGAUUUCAAAAUUCUCUAACACAUUUGUGGAAACUUCAUUUUUUUUGUUUGAGAUUUAUUUGAAUGAGCUGUUAUGAUUGGAGACAGUGAGAAUUUCAGAUUAAUGUUUUGCAGCCAAAAAAAAAAAAAAAACCUCUCUGGAAAGCUGGCAAGUGUUCAUAAGUCAGCCCUAGAAUUAUGUAGGUUGAAGGCUCCCAGUGGACAGACCGAACAUAUAAGAAGGAAACCAGAGAUCUGGUGCUAUUACGUCCCCGAGUCUAAGGGAACGAAUAAGCACAGAAUUAAAAGCAUUCUUCAGUCUGAAUUUUUAAGAAGGCAUAAGAAUUA
rnacentral:lncRNA from 12 species